rnacentral:rRNA from 1 species
AAACUUAAAUGAAUUGACGGGACCCGCACAAGCAGCGGAGCGUGUGGUUUAAUUCGUUGCUACACGAAGAACCUUACCUGGGUUUGACAUAUAGGUUGUAGGGAACUGAAAGGACCGACCCUUCGGGGAGCCUAUACAGGUGUUGCAUGGCUGUCGUCAGCUCGUGUCGUGAGAUGUUCGGUUAAGUCCGCUAACGAGCGCAACCCUCGUCGUAUGUUAUAUAUGUCAUACGAGACUGCCGGUAAAAAGCCGGAGGAAGGUGAGGAUGAUGUCAAGUCAGCAUGACCUUUAUAUCCAGGGCUACACACACGCUACAAUGGUCUGUACAAUGGGUAGCCAAGCCGCGAGGCGGAGCCAAUCCUGAAAGCAGGCCUCAGUUCAGAUUGCAGUCUGCAACUCGACUGCAUGAAGCCGGAGUUGCUAGUAACCGCAGGUCAGCAAUACUGCGGUGAAUACGUUCCCGGGUCUU